GACGAACGCUGGCGGCGUGCCUAAUACAUGCAAGUAGAACGCUGAAGAGAGGAGCUUGCUCUUCUUGGAUGAGUUGCGAACGGGUGAGUAACGCGUAGGUAACCUGCCUUGUAGCGGGGGAUAACUAUUGGAAACGAUAGCUAAUACCGCACAACAAUGGAUGACACAUGUCAUUUAUUUGAAAGGGGCAAUUGCUCCACUACAAGAUGGACCUGCGUUGUAUUAGCUAGUAGGUGAGGUAAUGGCUCACCUAGGCGACGAUACAUAGCCGACCUGAGAGGGUGAUCGGCCACACUGGGACUGAGACACGGCCCAGACUCCUACGGGAGGCAGCAGUAGGGAAUCUUCGGCAAUGGGGGCAACCCUGACCGAGCAACGCCGCGUGAGUGAAGAAGGUUUUCGGAUCGUAAAGCUCUGUUGUAAGUCAAGAACGGGUGUGAGAGUGGAAAGUUCACACUGUGACGGUAGCUUACCAGAAAGGGACGGCUAACUACGUG
rnacentral:rRNA from 1 species